AACAAGAUAAAUUAUGAUCCCAAAAAAAAAAAAAGAAUAUAUUAUGCACAAGUUUUCUAAACUAAAAAGUGUUCUAAUAUUUCUCAUCUAAAAACUGCAAAUGUAUAAAUUUAGCUCCCAUCUUAUUCCAAUUAAAUCAUCAAUGAAAUUUGUCAUCCAUAGCAAACCUGCAUAUACAAAAUAUAGAUUAAUCAAUAAUAAGAAAACAAGUUGUGAAAUUUGUAUUGAGAGUAACAAGUUCAUAUUAAAAGUAAAAGUUGGACACAACCUGCUGCUUACUGCUACCACUUCUGAUCAUAAUCAACUACUUUUAUCUACUUUUAUAGAGAAUUCCACUAGUAGUUGUUGACACACUUGUAGUAGUUGUGCAUAAGAUUCUAAACAUAGGGCUGAAUAUAGUUAAUAAACAACACAUUUAGUUAUAAAAAUUGAAAAAGAUUACCUCUAAUCCCUGUCCAUGACACGAGAACCGUGCGAUGGUAUAAUCCUCAAAAUUUCUUAUUACCUCUUGGUUAUUUUUCUGCCAGAAUUAAUAUCAAGAUCUCAGUAUUAACAUUUUUUAAAUCUCAAACAUAAAUUAGUACAUAGAAGCUUCUAGACUAUUAACUAACCGAAAACUUUAUAUGACAGCUCAACAUCAUACAAAACUCACUCAAUCGCUAUUAAUCUACUGCACACAGUACAAGUUUUAAUAAUACGAUUUACGCUCAAUGAAAGCAAAAUUAAACUAAUAUAAACAAACCUGAUAAUACUUAAAGUCGAACACAAAAGAGUAAUGUUGCAUAAUGCCUUCUAGCCUCAAAACUGAACAAAAUCUUAGUGCCUUCAAAGCUUGCUCAUUAAAAAGCACAUUCAUUCAAUACAUUAAAAGAAUCAUAAGUUGGGGUAUUUGUACCUUUAUAAUGACAACAAAAAAUAGUAGAGGCAUGAGAGGAACUGAUGACCUCCAUCAAGAUACAGAGAAUUCACAUAAACCUGUUAAUACAUAAAUAUCAGUAUGAUCUCCAAACAAAUUUUUUAUUCAAAGAAAAGAUGUAGCCCUAUUCUGGUAUUGCCAAACGAUCAUAAACGACAUAUUUAUUCAAACUUAAAUUAUAAAAGCUUACCACAUUAUCACUGCAAUGGCUAUUUAUCACAUCAAGUAGCUCAUGUGACCUUUUCUUUUUCUUUUUUAUUGCCAAUUACAUUUAUUAAGAAUAUACACAUUCCAAACACAAAAUAUGAUAAAACAAUAGAUUAGAUUGUGAUACAGAGCAUUCUUAGCAGCAUCACAUGCAUUUGCAGAUAUAUGAUCACUUACUUGACACGUAGCUACAUUAACAUUUAAGUUAGACUGCAAAGCAGUUGCUGAUUUUUGGAUGAUUUGAUCUCGUAUCAAGCUGGCCUGCAACUUAAAAUAAGGAAGUUCAUUAAAAAUAUGACUAGUAAAACUAAAAAAUAGUUAUUUAUGGUUAUAAUUAAAUUGAUUUUGAACUUACGGCUUUGACAAAAUUUUAAAUUAGUUCAAUUAUGUAUUGAAAAUGAAUUGUAUUGGGAGUAGAUUGUAUCCUUAAAAAUCAUGAUUACAAGGACAUACAUACACCUCAUGCACACUCUAUUUAAACUAGUAAGCCGGAAAUUUCUAAGGAGAAACACAUACAGAAUAUGCACUUUUUAGUAAGCAUGUGAGAUGCGUACAACUUAUAUAUGGUUUAACUAAGAAUAAAGACAAAAUAUACACUUUCAGAAAUGAUGUAAAAUGCAUACACUGAUGUAAAAUGCAUACACAUAGCUAGGUUGCUUGAUCAUGUAAUUUCCAUUUGACAGUAAUGUUCCUUUGCCUAUUUUUAUCAAACAGUUGGUGUGCAUAAACCAAAUUCCAUUUAGCCAAGUACACGUAUCCUCCCAAAAUUCCUCUUUGGAUAUGGCUACAUCGGUUAAAGGGGAAAUCUGCAGAGAAAAAAAUGACUUUUCACAUGGCUAACCCACAAUCUAAAAAACUCCAAUUUUGGUAGAGACUUAUUUUUUUCUUUUGUCAAUUAUUGGUACGCAUGUCAAAUAGGUUGUUCAAACUGGAUAUACGAAGUCAUAUUCAUCACUCAUAGAAAAUUGUCGUUGCAUUCAAUAUAUACAUAUAUACCCAUUGGGUUUUACAAAACUAUAAAUUAAUUCUAGGGCUGGAAAUUUAGUUACUGGGUCGGAGAAAUAAAAUCAAAAGGAUGGAUGAGGGCUUUCAAUCAAUUACCAUAAAGAUAAAGUAAUUCACAUACCAGAUUACUUUCAAACGCGAUGCA
rnacentral:lncRNA from 1 species